rnacentral:rRNA from 1 species
AGAGUUUGAUCCUGGCUCAGGACGAACGCUGGCGGCGUGCUUAACACAUGCAAGUCGAACGGAAAGGCCCCCACCUUUUGGUGGGGGUGCUCGAGUGGCGAACGGGUGAGUAACACGUGGGUGAUCUGCCCUGCACUUCGGGAUAAGCUUGGGAAACUGGGUCUAAUACCGGAUAGGACCAUGGUUUAGUGUCUCAUGGUGGAAAGAUUUUUUGGUGUGGGAUGAGCUCGCGGCCUAUCAGCUUGUUGGUGGGGUAAUGGCCUACCAAGGCGUCGACGGGUAGCCGGCCUGAGAGGGUGGACGGCCACAUUGGGACUGAGAUACGGCCCAGACUCCUACGGGAGGCAGCAGUGGGGAAUAUUGCACAAUGGGCGCAAGCCUGAUGCAGCGACGCCGCGUGGGGGAUGACGGCCUUCGGGUUGUAAACUCCUUUCGUUAGGGACGAAGCCGCGCCUUUUUUUGGGUGUGGUGACGGUACCUUUGUUAAGAAGCACCGGCUAACUACGUGCCAGCAGCCGCGGUAAUACGUAGGGUGCGAGCGUUGUCCGGAAUUACUGGGCGUAAAGAGCUCGUAGGUGGUUUGUUGCGUCGUCUGUGAAAUUCCGGGGCUUAACUUCGGGGUGGCAGGCGAUACGGGCAUAACUAGAGUGCUGUAGGGGAGACUGGAAUUCCUGGUGUAGCGGUGGAAUGCGCAGAUAUCAGGAGGAACACCGAUGGCGAAGGCAGGUCUCUGGGCAGUAACUGACGCUGAGGAGCGAAAGCAUGGGGAGCGAACAGGAUUAGAUACCCUGGUAGUCCAUGCUGUAAACGGUGGGCGUUAGGUGUGGGGACUGGUUUUGGUUUCUGUGCCGUAGCUAACGCAUUAAGCGCCCCGCCUGGGGAGUACGGCCGCAAGGCUAAAACUCAAAGGAAUUGACGGGGGC